UACGUAGGGGGCAAGCGUUAUCCGGAUUUAUUGGGUUUAAAGGGUGCGUAGGCGGAUUUGUAAGUCAGCGGUAAAAAUGCGGUGCUCAACGCCGUAUCGCCGUUGAAACUGCGGGUCUUGAGAUGUCGAGAGGUAUGCGGAAUGCGCAGUGUAGCGGUGAAAUGCUUAGAUAUUGCGCAGAACUCCGAUUGCGAAGGCAGCAUACCGGCGGCGAUCUGACGCUGAGGCACGAAAGCGUGGGUAUCAAACAGG
rnacentral:rRNA from 1 species